rnacentral:rRNA from 1 species
AUUGAACGCUGGCGGCAGGCCUAACACAUGCAAGUCGAGCGGUAGCACAGGGAGCUUGCUCCUGGGUGACGAGCGGCGGACGGGUGAGUAAUGUCUGGGAAACUGCCUGAUGGAGGGGGAUAACUACUGGAAACGGUAGCUAAUACCGCAUAACGUCGCAAGACCAAAGAGGGGGACCUUCGGGCCUCUUGCCAUCAGAUGUGCCAAGAUGGGAUUAGCGAGUAGGUGGGGUAACGGCUCACCUAGGCGACGAUCCCUAGCUGGUCUGAGAGGAUGACCAGCCACACUGGAACUGAGACACGGUCCAGACUCCUACGGGAGGCAGCAGUGGGGAAUAUUGCACAAUGGGCGCAAGCCUGAUGCAGCCAUGCCGCGUGUAUGAAGAAGGCCUUCGGGUUGUAAAGUACUUUCAGCGGGGAGGAAGGCGAUAAGGUUAAUAACCUUGUCGAUUGACGUUACCCGCAGAAGAAGCACCGGCUAACUCCGUGCCAGCCGCCGCCGUAA